UUCAGUCUAGAGUUGACCGUACCGCAAACCGACACAGGUGGGCAGGAUGAAAAUUCUAAGGCGCUUGAGAGAACUCAGGAGAAGGAACUCGGCAAGUUAACACCGUAACUUCGGGAGAAGGUGUGCCCCGGUAGCGUGUAGAGACUUGCUCUCGAAGCGCGAUGGGGUUGCAGUGAAAUGGUGGCUGCGACUGUUUAAUAAAAACACAGCACUCUGCAAACACGAAAGUGGACGUAUAGGGUGUGACGCCUGCCCGGUGCCGGAAGGUUAAGUGAUGGGGUGCAAGCUCUUGAUCGAAGCCCCGGUAAACGGCGGCCGCAACAAUAACGGUCCUAAGGUAGCGAAAUUCCUUGUCGGGUAAGUUCCGACCUGCACGAGUGGCGUAACGAUGGCCACACUGUCUCCUCCUGGGACUCAGCGAAGUUGAAAUGUUUGUGAAGAUGCAAUCUACCCGUGGCUAGACGGAAAGACCCCAUGAACCUUUACUGUAGCUUUGCAUUGGACUUUGAACCGGUUUGUGUAGGAUAGGUGGGAGACUGUGAAGCCGGGACGCUAGUUUCGGUGGAGUCAACCUUGAAAUACCACCCUGAUUUGUUUGAGGUUCUAACCUUGGUCCGUGAAUCCGGAUCGGGGACCGUGCAUGGUAGGCAGUUUGACUGGGGCGGUCUCCUCCCAAAAGGUAACGGAGGAGUACGAAGGUACGCUUAGGGCGGUCGGACAUCGCCCACAAAGUGCAAUGGCAAAAGCGUGCUUGACUGCGAGACCCACAAGUCGAGCAGGUACGAAAGUAGGUCAUAGUGAUCCGGUGGUUCUGUAUGGAAGGGCCAUCGCUCAACGGAUAAAAGGUACUCUGGGGAUAACAGGCUAAUUCCUCCCAAGAGUUCAUAUCGACGGGGGAGUUUGGCACCUCGAUGUCGGCUCAUCACAUCCUGGGGCUGUAGUCGGUCCCAAGGGUAUGGCUGUUCGCCAUUUAAAGUGGUACGCGAGCUGGGUUUAAAACGUCGUGAGACAGUUUGGCCCCUAUCUGCCGUGGGCGCUGGAAAUUUGAAGGGGGCUGCUCCUAGUACGAGAGGACCGGAGUGGACGAACCUCUGGUGUACCGGUUAUGACGCCAGUCGUAUCGCCGGGUAGCUAAGUUCGGAAGAGAUAAACGCUGAAAGCAUCUAAGCGUGAAACUCGCCUUAAGAUAAGAUUUCCCGGAGUCUUGAACUCCCUGAAGGGUCGUCGAAGACCACGACGUUGAUAGGUCAGGUGUGGAAGCGCAGCAAUGCGUUAAGCUAACUGAUACUAAUUGCCCGUGCGGCUUGAUC
rnacentral:rRNA from 1 species